ACGCUGGCGGCGUGCUUAACACAUGCAAGUCGAACGGUGAAGCAGAGCUUGCUCUGUGGAUCAGUGGCGAACGGGUGAGUAACACGUGAGCAAUCUGCCCCUGACUCUGGGAUAAGCGCUGGAAACGGCGUCUAAUACCGGAUACGAGCUGCGACCGCAUGGUCAGUAGCUGGAAAGAAUUUCGGUCAGGGAUGAGCUCGCGGCCUAUCAGCUUGUUGGUGAGGUAAUGGCUCACCAAGGCGUCGACGGGUAGCCGGCCUGAGAGGGUGACCGGCCACACUGGGACUGAGACACGGCCCAGACUCCUACGGGAGGCAGCAGUGGGGAAUAUUGCACAAUGGGCGCAAGCCUGAUGCAGCAACGCCGCGUGAGGGAUGACGGCCUUCGGGUUGUAAACCUCUUUUAGCAGGGAAGAAGCGAAAGUGACGGUACCUGCAGAAAAAGCGCCGGCUAACUACGUGCCAGCAGCCGCGGUAAUACGUAGGGCGCAAGCGUUAUCCGGAAUUAUUGGGCGUAAAGAGCUCGUAGGCGGUCUGUCGCGUCUGCUGUGAAAACCCGAGGCUCAACCUCGGGCCUGCAGUGGGUACGGGCAGACUAGAGUGCGGUAGGGGAGAUUGGAAUUCCUGGUGUAGCGGUGGAAUGCGCAGAUAUCAGGAGGAACACCGAUGGCGAAGGCAGAUCUCUGGGCCGUAACUGACGCUGAGGAGCGAAAGGGUGGGGAGCAAACAGGCUUAGAUACCCUGGUAGUCCACCCCGUAAACGUUGGGAACUAGUUGUGGGGUCCAUUCCACGGAUUCCGUGACGCAGCUAACGCAUUAAGUUCCCCGCCUGGGGAGUACGGCCGCAAGGCUAAAACUCAAAGGAAUUGACGGGGACCCGCACAAGCGGCGGAGCAUGCGGAUUAAUUCGAUGCAACGCGAAGAACCUUACCAAGGCUUGACAUAUAGAGGAAACGUC
rnacentral:rRNA from 1 species